GGCUUUUAACUCCUACAAUUUUGUAACUGCCUCUUGACAUUGUCUCCCUUUCUCACUCAAGCCCUUAAACCCGACUUGACAUCAUCAACAAGCUAUUCUACAUCCCAAGCAAAUACCAGACCUCUUCCAUUUUCUCAUCUGGAUUUGAUUUUUAUUCUGGUGCAGCAUGCAAGGAAGAGAUCUGAGGUGCUAAUUGGAUCUCAGAUUAUAAGGAGUUUUCCUCGGAAUAUUAACACCACUACAUUAAGGUUGAAGAUUUGUAUGAAUAGAACUGAUUCGUAUGAAUUGGUGAAAAGUUAAAGAGGAAUACAAGUGGCCAGCUUGU